rnacentral:lncRNA from 1 species
GCCAUGGCAGCUGGUAAUUUCCUCGCUCAUCUCUGUAUCCUAAUUUCUGAUUAAAGGCGAAUCUGAGCCUCUCUGUUUUCCCUUCUCCUUCUCUCUGUUGUCCAAUGCAUGAGCUCUAUGUUGAAAUUACUUUUGUUGUAAACAAGCAAUGAAUUUGAGGAAUAACCAUGUCUAGAUUUCGGAAUAUGCGACUACUAACAUGAUGUCUACUAUUAGCUUUAAAAUUGCAAUAACUCGCGAUCUGUACAGCUGAACAUUGAAAAUUGGGGAUUUAUAUGGAACGUCAGCUAGAAGUCAAGAGUUCUGAUGGGUCGUUCAGUAAGCUCAGCAACACGCCAGCUGCAGCUGUGAAGGAAAUACAUAUAUUGACAGCAGCCGAGAGACCAGAUGAAUCAGAGGAAGACGGAGGAGCGGCCGCUGGAGGAUUUUCAACUUUGGUCACUGCAGGUAGUGGUGGAUCGCCUAUAUCUUUUACAGCUAGAGAUGGUCUCGGAUGACUUGGAGGUGGUAGUUCCAGUCCGCUGAAGUUGAGUAGAGAACCAGGCACGAUUGGCAAGACAACGUGAGUUAGCUGCUGGUUGUUUAGAUCCGAGCAUGGGUUUUCUGGAGCAAUGAAAUAAAGAACAGGCAAAUGAUUAGAACACUCUUUUUCAAAGGUUACUUCUAAUUUGUCUUCUCUCUGAGAAAUGGAAGAAGCUUUUGCAUUGAAUGCUUACUCAUAUAUUUGCUUGCAGUUCUCGGGUAUUCUGUUAUGGUUCCAUUGACUCCAAUUUGAUGGAAAUAAGUAGAGAUCUCAACUAUGGGGUCUGCAAAGUAGUCAAAUGCAAGUGUGAUAUAUUCAUUGUAAAGGGUGGAGACGAACACAGACAGGUUUUCACUUUGCAGUGACUGCACUGCAUCUGUGUAAUUGAGUGUGAAUCCUUCGUUAGUUGGAAUGAUUGAGUAUCUUGUCAAGGUGACUGCAUCCGCAUACUUCUUGAUUUCCUUUGCUGUAGCCUUGGGUAUAUCGCUUAUUUCUUCCUUGACCAUGAG